GGGGGAUAAUACCGGAUGUGGAUGUCGAUAUGCAUGUAUUGACAUCUAAAGCAUUUAUGCGCUUUGGGAUGGGCUUGCGGCCUAUCAGCUAGUUGGUGAGGUAACGGCUCACCAAGGCGACGACGGGUAGCUGGUCUGAGAGGAUGGUCAGCCGGACUGGGACUGAGACACGGCCCAGAGGGGUACUGGGGGCAGCAAUUAGGAAUCUUGCGCAAUGGGCGAAAGCCUGACGCAGCGACGUCGCGUGAACGAUGAAGUCUUUCGGGAUGUAAAGUUCUUUUCUGAGGGAAGAAGGAUGUGACGGUACCUCAGGAAUAAGCCCCGGCUAACUACGUGCCAGCAGCCGCGGUAAUACGUAGGGGGCGAGCGUUGUCCGAAUUUACUGGGCGUAAAGCGCGCGUAGGCGGACUCUUAAGUUGGUGGUGAAAUGCCGAGGCUCAACCUCGGAACUGCCUUCAAAACUGGGAGUCUAGAGGCUUGGAGAGGGAAGUGGAAUUCCUGGUGUAGCGGUGAAAUGCGUAGAUAUCAGGAGGAACACCGAUGGCGAAGGCAGCUUCCUGGCCAUGUCCUGACGCUGAGGUGCGAAAGCUAGGGUAGCGAACGGGAUUAGAUACCCCGGUAGUCCUAGCCGUAAACGAUGGAUACUAGGUGUAAGAGGUAUCGACCCCUCUAGUGCGGAAGCAACGCGUUAAGUUCCCGCUGGGGAGUAGGGC
rnacentral:rRNA from 1 species